UACAGAGGUGGCAAGCGUUGUUCGGAAUUACUGGGCGUAAAGGGCGCGUAGGCGGCCUUCUAAGUCAGACGUGAAAUCCCCAGGCUUAACUUGGGAACUGCGUCUGAUACUGGGAGGCUUGAAUGCGGGAGAGGGAUGUGGAAUUCCAGGUGUAGCGGUGAAAUGCGUAGAUAUCUGGAGGAACACCGGUGGCGAAGGCGGCAUCCUGGACCGACAUUGACGCUGAGACACGAAAGCGUGGGUAGCAAACAGG
rnacentral:rRNA from 1 species